rnacentral:rRNA from 1 species
GACGAACCGUGCGAACGUUGUUCGGAAUCACUGGGCUUAAAGGGCGCGUAGGCGGGUCUCCCAGUCGGUGGUGAAAUCUUUCGGCCCCAACCGGAAAAGUGCCGCCGAUACUGGAGACCUCGAGGGAGGUAGGGGUCGGGGGGAACUAAUGGUGGAGCGGUGAAAUGCGUAGAUAUCAUUAGGAACGCCGGUGGCGAAAGCGCCCCGACUGGACCUCUUCUGACGCUGAGGCGCGAAAGCCAGGGG